CAUGUCACUAUUGGUCACCACAUUCUGAAUGAAUGGUAAUAUCAGUCACCACCAUCUGUUUGAAUGGUACUAUCAGUCACCACCAUCUGUAUGAAUGACAGCAUCUUCAUCAUAGCCCCAGAAUUAUGCAGAAUAGUCUAGUAUAUUGUAAUAAAAUAACCAAUACUAGAAAACCACUAUAUUGGCUUUAUUCAACAAGAUUAAGCUACAGCCAACAAUGAACAAAUAUAAGUACAUCUCUAGUUGUUGAAAUACUAUAGACACACACACUGAACAUGACCUUCUGGCACAUUGGACUCAUGCAGAAAAUUAAUAAUAAAUAUACACUACAUAUAUGUUGUCACAUCAAACCUGGUAUGUAUUGUCACAUUAGAAAUAGUAUGUAUAUAUGGCCUUUUUUAGUGGCGAAGCGACUAUGGAUCAUCUCAUGGAAAUGAGAUGAAUGCCUGGGCAUUAGUUAUGGUUGGAACGAUGUCGCCCACACAUCAGUUCCCCCCACUCCACGCAGCUGAUGUAUCCAAAGGAACGGCAGUGCCGAGAUAGUUUGGGGUCAGUGGCCUUACAGGUUCUGCCAGAGUGUAGCACUGGGUGCUGCAAACUGCCUUAAGGUUGCCAGCUCCUGAUUUUUCCUCAGGGUUGACUCCCAAAGCCUUUCCCAUGAUUGGGUAUAGCUGCAAGGCAACAGAGGUUUGAAUUCAGAGUUUUCCUUCUCCUAGGUGGGUAGCCAGCCAUGGCUAAUGAGCCCCUCCUGCUCGAAGCUUACUGGUUAUUAUUAUUAUUGUUUUUGCAUUGCAUUGAAAGAGAAUGUCAUAAGAAAUAGAAAUGGUUUUGUUCCUUAAAUAGCCAUUGCAUAAGAUUGCUUCACUAAUCUCGCAUUCCCUGUGUAUCAGUCUCUCCAUAGACCUUCUAUAGUUCUUUGAAGUAUAUUUCAUAUUAAGGUAUAUAUUAUCUCUUUUAAAUGUAGGAAGGGAUUUAUUUGCAAUGGUUUUUUUUAUUUAUACUAGAAAAAGUAUCGCCAUUAUUUCCUUUAAUUUUAAGAAAUCGGUCUAAUUGAAAUGGUAAAAAUUAAUCUAAUUUUAUGAAUUACAGAUGUCACUUUAAAAAAGAAGAUGAUUAAGGCCUAUGCAUGUUUCUAGGUCAAUCUAGUCAUGCAUGUUGAUCAUUGACUGAAAUUCUGCCAAGUCUUAGGUUUUGUGACUCACUUAGGCAGCCCAUUCCAUGCUCUAGGGAAGAAGGAGCAUUUAUACAAAUUUGCCCCUAGCGUAAUCAUGCAUCACAUGCCCUCAGAUAUGUACAAAAAAUGAAGUUUGAGAAGAAAGAGAAAGGAUCAAGAUGAUUUACAAGACACUAAAGAAGUUAUCUAUCAACUAUACUCAAUGUAUGGACGACUUGCAGCCAGACUAGAAUUAUAGAGUAAGAUGUUUUUCUGCUGGCUAAACAUGUAUGGAUAAUGAUGCAGAGAAUUUCCUGGUGAUCAAGAAUUAGGAGCUGCACACAGUUUAAUGAAACCAUAUUUUAGGAACAGAUAGAAAACAAAGAACUGCAGCAAAGAUGGCCUGUUUUUAUUCUUCCUCAUG